CCCCAGAUCAGCAACUUAGCCUCCAGUUGAAGAGGAGGAAAAGAGAAGGACCCCACAAUGAUCCUAUUCCCACUGAGUCCUCUGCAAAUAGCACGCCCCGGCUCCUCUAGGGGUUGGUGGAGGCACGGUGGACUUUCCCAGGCCUCGUGGAAUCUCCGCGGCGCGGAGUGAGUGUUGGGCGUCCAGCUCAUUUCCCAGCAGCCAAAAAACCCACAGAGGUGCGAGUAGCCGCCGAGUGGAUGGUGACAGCAAAGAGCCAGCCCCUAGCAGGGACCUGCAGAGGGCACGGUUAGAGGCUGGUUUGGUCUGGUUGACAUUACCCAUAGAGUGAGAUUUGGCACUGCAAGGACCCCUCUUAACUUCAAAGAUCUCCCACUCUGACCUGUUGUACAGCCAUCCUCCCUUCCUACCUGGCCUGAAACUCAGACGAUGAAUCAUUCUUUUGCUAAGGAAUCGUCUCAAGAAAGCCCCUGUCCAAAUGCUUUAUACUAUCUGGAAGGUAGUUCUCCACAGAGUCCCAGUGGGAUCCACCUGACUCCAGGGCUCGGUUCUAACCUUGACUGGUAGCCACCAGAGCUGGUCAGAACACCAGGCAAUGGUCAAAGGACUGAAGGUCACUAAUUCCGAUGGUCCUUCUCCAAUUUCAUUCUGAACCAAGGCCCAAUUCAUGGAUCUGUUCUUCAAAACUUUUUUCUUGAUGAAAGAAUUUAGAAAUGUGAAUUUUCCCCUAAGAACUGCUUUGACUACAUUUAAUUUUAUCCUCACAGCAACCCUGUGAGGUAGAUGCUUUAUUAUCUAUAUUUUCCAGAGGAGGAAACUGAAGCUAAUAAUUAAGUGAUCUACUUGGGGACAUAAUUAAUGAAGUGUUCGAGACAGGAUUGGAACUCAGGUCUUCCUGAUUCCAAGUUUAAUGCUCUAUCUACCAGGUCUACUUGCUUUGGAUUGCUAAAUAUUUAAAAAAUA